rnacentral:rRNA from 1 species
UACAGAGGUGGCAAGCGUUGUUCGGAAUUACUGGGCGUAAAGGGCGCGUAGGCAGCCUUCUAAGUCAGACGUGAAAUCCCCCGGCUUAACCUGGGAACUGCGUCUGAUACUGGAGGGCUUGAGUAUGGGAGAGGGAUGUAGAAUUCCAGGUGUAGCGGUGAAAUGCGUAGAUAUCUGGAGGAAUACCGGUGGCGAAGGCGGCAUCCUGGACCAUUACUGACGCUGAGGCGCGAAAGCUAGGGGAGCAAACGGG